rnacentral:rRNA from 1 species
AGCGGCGGACGGGUGAGUAAUGCCUGGGAAUAUGCCCUGAUGUGGGGGAUAACUAUUGGAAACGAUAGCUAAUACCGCAUAAUCUCUUCGGAGCAAAGAGGGGGACCUUCGGGCCUCUCGCGUCAGGAUUAGCCCAGGUGGGAUUAGCUUGUUGGUGAGGUAAUGGCUCACCAAGGCAACGAUCCCUAGCUGGUCUGAGAGGAUGAUCAGCCACACUGGAACUGAGACACGGUCCAGACUCCUACGGGAGGCAGCAGUGGGGAAUAUUGCACAAUGGGGGAAACCCUGAUGCAGCCAUGCCGCGUGUGUGAAGAAGGCCUUCGGGUUGUAAAGCACUUUCAGUAGGGAGGAAGGUAGUGUAGUUAACACCUGCAUUAUUUGGCGUUACCUACAGAAGAAGCACCGGCUAACUCCGUGCCAGCAGCCGCGGUAAUACGGAGGGUGCGAGCGUUAAUCGGAAUUACUGGGCGUAAAGCGCAUGCAGGCGGCCUGUUAAGUCAGAUGUGAAAGCCCGGGGCUUAACCUCGGAAUUGCAUUUGAAACUGGCAGG